rnacentral:rRNA from 1 species
ACUCCUACGGGAGGCAGCAGUAGGGAAUCUUGCGCAAUGGGCGAAAGCCUGACGCAGCGACGCCGCGUGAGCGAUGAAGGCCUUCGGGUCGUAAAGCUCUGUGGGGAGAGACGAAUAAGGCAUGGCUAAUAUCCAUGUCGAUGACGGUAUCUCCCUAGCAAGCACCGGCUAACUCUGUGCCAGCAGCCGCGGUAAU